UUAAUAUGCAUAUUUAGAAGCUAAGCACACUCAAUUGAAAGUGCUUCCAGUGGUCUAGUGAGCUGCUAGCUAAAUUGGAAAAUAUCAGUGGAUUGUCUGUCCUUUACUUUGAAAACCUUAAAUAAAUUGGAGAAAGAGAAGCAGAAGUAGGACUCCAGAAAGAGUUGAGCAAUAUGACAGUGUUUCUGAACCUGGGAAACCGAAGUGCCAAGUGCCAGCAAGGUCCUAAAACUGAGAAACACAAGUCAGUCUGUCACAUGGACCAGACUAGUUUCUUCAGUAAAACAGGAUGCAGACUCUAAUAAACAGAUAUAGAUCGCCUAUUUGAGAAUAAUUAACAUAAGGUCAUAAUGGAUUACUACUUUGUUCAUCAUAUUUUUUAUUAAGGAUUAGUUCUGAAGGAACUGGAG